rnacentral:rRNA from 1 species
CCCUACGGGGGGCAGCAGUAGGGAAUUUUCGUCAAUGGGCGCAAGCCUGAACGAGCAAUGCCGCGUGAACGAGGAAGGUCUUCGGAUCGUAAAGUUCUGUUGCAGGGGAAAAAGAGCGGAGAGAGGAAAUGCUUUCUGAUUGAUAUUACCCUUCGAGGAAGUCACGGCUAACUACGUGCCAGCAGCCGCGGUAAUACGUAGGUGGCGAGCGUUAUCCGGAAUGAUUGGGCGUAAAGGGUGCGUAGGCGGCCUGCUAAGUCUGGAGUGAAAGGUACCGGCUCAACCGGUACAGGCUCUGGGAACUG